GACGAACGCUGGCGGCGUGCUUAACACAUGCAAGUCGAGCGGUAAGGCCCUUUUGGGGGUACGACGAGCGGCGAACGGGUGAGUAACACGUGGGUGACCUGCCCUCAGCUCUGGGAUAAGCCUGGGAAACUGGGUCUAAUACUGGAUAUGACCUUUCCUCGCAUGGGGUUGGGUGGAAAGUUUUUCGGCUGGGGAUGGCCCGCGGCCUAUCAGCUUGUUGGUGGGGUGAUGGCCUACCAAGGCGACGACGGUAGCCGGCCUGAGAGGCGACCGGCCACACUGGACUGAGACACGGCCCAGACUCCUACGGAGGCAGCAGUGGGAAGUAUUGCGCAAUGGGCGGAAGCCUGACGCAGCGACGCCGCGUGGGGAUGACGGCC
rnacentral:rRNA from 1 species